GGGUUUAUUGUUUGAUAGAAUAAAAAACAACCUUGACUCAUAAUCAAGGGGUCCCUGGUUCGAGCCCAGGUGGGCCCA
rnacentral:tRNA from 1 species